GGGGCUGUAGCUCAAUGGCAGAGCACUUCUCUGACAUUUAUGAGGUCCUGGGUUCAAUCCCCAGUACCA
rnacentral:tRNA from 1 species